rnacentral:rRNA from 1 species
GAAUUUUCCGCAAUGGGCGCAAGCCUGACGGAGCAAGACCGCGUGAGGGAGGAAGGCGUAUUCGUCGUAAACCUCUUUUCUCAAGGAAGAAGCUCUGACGGUACUUGAGGAAUCAGCAUCGGCUAACUCCGUGCCAGCAGCCGCGGUAAUACGGAGGAUGCAAGCGUUAUCCGGAAUUAUUGGGCGUAAAGCGUCCGCAGGUGGCUUGUCAAGUUCUGCUGUCAAAGACAGAAGCUUAACUUCUGAAAGGCAGUGGAAACUGGCAAGCUAGAGUCCGGUAGGGGUAGAGGGAAUUCCCAGUGUAGCGGUGAAAUG